UUUAGUUCUGUGUGUUUCUGGAAGGAGCCUGGGAACAGGUGCAUGGUUUUGGAGACGCUGCUGCCCCCACCCCCACCCCGGCACUGGCUCCCCGGGGGAAGGAGAACUUCCUGGCCCGCCCUGCCCCUGCCCUGCGACGGCUGCACCCAGAGAACUGAGACAGGAAGUGGGUGGCGGCCGCAGGGAGGGCGGCACCCGUGCAGGCGGUUUACGUGGGAGCCACGAGGACCUUGCCCCACGGCCUCUUCUGGUGGCUUCGAGGGUCAGGACUUGGAGAACGUGGACACGGGACUUGCGCAGAAAGGCCUGGUGAGAAGUUGGAGCUUCUGUGACUUCUGUGCCCCGACAGGCCCGCAGCCCCUGUGCCGGCGACGCCCCGGCCGAGGUGAGCGAGGCCCCAGGCCUGUCCUCUCUUGCUGGGUCUCCCUUUCCUCUGGGGGCUGUGGUGCAGCUGAGCCCAGGAAACGUGUGACGUUGCCGUAGAGACGGUAACCCGCCCAGGUGCCUCACAGCGGCCCUUCCCCCUUCUUCCUGCCUGUCCUCCCUGCUGACUUCUGAGGUCACAGGGAGGGGACUCGGCAAGGGCAGGAGGCACAUUUAGGGGGGAGUCCUGUCCAGCUCCUGACGGAGGAGGCACAGGAGAGCGGUGUGCGAGAAUCUGGCCCUCCGUGUCCUGGCUCUGUGGCCUUCGUUCUUCAGGUGCCUAACAAACAGCGGAAGACUUUCCAGCCCCUUCGCUUUCGGUUUCGUGUGCUCCCUACAACAAGGUUCUGGAAGGUUCCCGAGCGGAGCAGAUGGCAGUGCAGGCCGCCCCCGAUGCGUCCACUGGCGCCUCCUGCUCCUGUGUCCCCCCCGCCCCGCGUGGACGGGAAACCGCUCUCUGUGGGAGAGAAAUGGAAGCAGAAGCGUCCCCGCCGCGGGAGCAGAGCCAGUAGAGGCGCUCGGGGAUGUCGCCCGGGAUUCGUCACACUUGGCGCGUGGACCGCCGGAGCGACAACAUUUGAAAACCACUCCGGUCUCACCGACAGAAAGCCAAACUCACCACGAGGCCCUCCCGAGCCCGUGGCCGGACCACGCAAGGUCAUUCCCACGUGGGCGAGGGUGGCCGUGUGACCUUGGGGACCCCAGGUCUGAGUACCACAAGCCGGCUCGCGCCCCGCGCCCUCCCCUCUCUGCCCGAGGCCUCCGGCGGACCCUCUGAGGACAGCCCGUGGGUGAGGUCUCAGAGGCCCGGCUGCGUGUGCUGGGCGGACGGCUGGCUCGGCCGACGGGAGGGCUUUCUGCCAGCCUGUCCCUGGCAUCCUGCCAUCCCCUGGCGACCAUAAGUUCACCAAGUCCCUUGGUGGGGACAAGUCCCUUCAGGGGGACAGUUUGGGAUUCCGAGGUACCCCCAAGCACAAGUGACGUGGGAAGCAAAGGCAGAAGAAAAAGGUGAAUUUCCUCACUGUCUACACCCCACUGACAGUCCUUGAGACAGACAGAGUGACCCUCCUCCAGGGCCCCAGCUGCCUCGAUGAUGACGCUUUGCUCAGGGCAAGAGGCAGCCGUAGCUUCACAUUAGCCCCACGUCCGGGGUCCUGUGUGUCUGCUUUACCACCCACACAUUCCUCUGGAAACUUCCUUUAUCUCUGCCGCCCAGAUACAUGCUAGCAAUCCUUUCCAAGCUUAUGGUCCCCGGAUGUGCACCUGAAGGGUCUCAUGACCGAGGUUUGACUGAACAGUAAUAAGUGAUCUUAUCCUAGCAGCAGCUAGCCCCUGGUUUCCAAAUUCCUUAGAGACUUCCGCUGUCUCUAACCCCCUCCCAACCUGAGGGUCCCUAAUCAGUCAGUUGGCACAGCCCAGGGCAGUGCUGCCUGCCCCUGGAUCCUGUGUCCGUGCUUUUGUUAUUAUUUUUUAAUGUUUAUUUAUUUUUGAGAGAGAGACAGAGCGUAAGUGGGUUAGGGGCAGGGAGAGAGGGAGACACAGAAUCCGAAGCAGGCUCUGGGCUCCGAGCCCCGACGCGGGGCUCGAACCCAUGGACCCUGAGAUCGUGACCUGAGCCGAAGUCGGGUGCUUCACCGACGGAGCCCCCCAGGCGCCCCCAACUGUUUAUGUUUUAAGGGAAGACGUAGCAUCGGACCUUGUGACCUCAGCACCUGCCCUGCAAGGCUGGGUGCCGUCCACAGCGUCUGACACGUCUCUGUCCUCCUUGGAGCCCCAGGUGGGUUACUGGCUUCACCGGCAUCUGUGAACACGGCCCCCUCGGAGGGACCUUCCCUUGCUUUGCGGAGGACAGUCCCGUGAGGCGCGUCCUCCUUCACCUUGACCUAGACUGACAUGAAGCGAUCUGAGGCGACGGUGCGCUUCUGUGGUGAUUUACUUUUGUUAAUGUUUUAUACGCCAGCUCCUCUCCAGUCCCAUUUUCCUGUGGGAACUGGAAGGGUUCUCCAGCAUUUUUCUCACUCUUGGCGUUGGCCUCGAGGAGUUGGCAGAAUUUUGAGCUAUGCUCUCUCGGCAGCCAUCUUGUGGUGUGCAAACGAAAACAAAAACAAAACGCACGACACAAACACCAGUUAGUGGCUUAGAGCAAUCAUUGUCUAACGGUGUCCUGUGUGGUCGACUCAGCCUACGUGAUAAAGAUAUCUUUAGUUCACAAAUAUCUUAUUAGAACAUUGGGAGGACCUGGGAAUGCGAGCUGGUGUGGCCACUCUGGAAAACAGGAUGGAGGUUCCUCAAAAAGCUGAAAAGAGAACAACUACCCUACGACCCAGCAAUGGCACUACUCGGCAUUUCUCCACGGGGUACGGGUGUGCUGUUUCGAAGGGCCGCGUGCACCCCAAUGUUUACAGCAGCGCUAUCGACAAGAGCCAAAGUAUGGAAAGAGCCCGAAUGUCCAUCGAUGGAUGAAUGGAGAAAGAAGAGGUGGGGGGCGCCUGGGUGGCGCAGUCGGUUAAGCGUCCGACUUCAGCCAGGUCACGAUCUCGCGGUCCGUGAGUUCGAGCCCCGCGUCGGGCUCUGGGCUGAUGGCUCGGAGCCUGGAGCCUGCUUCCGAUUCUGUGUCUCCCUCUCUCUCUGCCCCUCCCCCGUUCAUGCUCUGUCUCUGUCCCAAAAAUAAAUAAAAAACGUUGAAAAAAAAUUUUAUAAAAAAAAAGAAGAGGUGGGAUAUAGAUACAAUGGAGUAUCGCUCAGCGAUCAAAAAGAAUGAAAUCUCACCAUUUGCAACUACGUGGAUGGAACUGGAGGGUAUUAUGCUAAGUGAAAUUAGUCAGAGAAAGACAAAAAUUCUAUGACUUCACUCAUAGGAGGACUUUAAGAGGCAAAACAGAUGAACAUAAGGGAAGGGAACCAAAAAUCAUAUAAAAACAGGGAGGGGGACAAAACAGAAGCGAUUCUUAAAUAUGGAGAACAAACCGAGGGUUAUGGGAGGGGUUUUGUGGGAGGGGAGGUGGGCUAAAUGGGGGAGGGGCACUAAGCAAUCUACUCCUGAAAUCAUUGUUGCACGAUAUGCGAACUAGUUGGGAUGUAAAUUAAAAAAAAAAUUAAAAAUAAAUAAGUAAAGAAAAAGAAAAAACAAAAAGCACACUGGGAGGACCACCUUUCACCCAUUAGGAUGGCUGCUAAAAACAAAAAAGCCAAAGAACCAGAAAAUAACGGGUGUUGGUGAGGAUGUGGAGAAACCGGAAGCUUUGUGCCCUGCUGGCGGGAAGGUCACGGAGCAGCCACUGUGGAAAACAGUAUUGGCCGUUCCUAGAAAAAUUUAGUAUAGGGGCGCCUGGGUGGCUCAGUCGGUUAAGCGGCCGACUUCGGCUCAGGUCAUGAUCUCACGGUCCGUGAGUUCGAGCUCCGCGUCGGGCUCUGUGCUGACGGCUCGGAGCCCGGAGCCUGCUUCGGAUUCUGUGUCUCCCUCUCUGUGCCCCUCCCCUGGCCACAGUCAGUCUCUCUCUCUCUCUCUCUCUCUCAAAAAUAAAUAAGCGUAAAAAAUUUAAAAAGAAUGGUUAUGAUGAUAAAUUUUAUGUUAUGUGUAUUUUACGCUAGUUACAAAGAAAGCAAAAAAAUUGUUAGUGUUUCCAGGUGUUACUGAGUAGGGUAGUGAGUGAGCCAAGGGUCUCCAAAGUAACCGGCAGGAAGUUAUGCUGCCCUUUUGGAUGUGAUACAGAAAACUCGUUAUUAACGGGAGCCCCUAAUUUGACCCUAUGGUUGGGAAUGUUGAAAAGGGAGCUGCAUCCCGUUGAAACCGUGGUCAGCUCGCUAGGACUGCCCAGAAGCGAAUAUACUGCCCCAUAGGCUCAUGGGAAGGAAGACUGGGGUCAAGGCCUAGGGCAUUUCUUUAAAAGCUGAGCACCAGGGUUCCCGGGUAGCCUAUCCUGGCCCCAGAAGGAGCCCCAGAGACAGACGCCCUGGGCGUCCUUCCUUCUGGUCACCACGGGGGUUAAGUCUUGGCUUAACCUACGGAUCAACGGCAGCGGUCUCCGGGGAAUGAUCACGGAGAAGGUCAGAAGUUAAAAAGGAAAAAGUACUGAGCAUUUUUAAAAAGGGAAUGCUACGUGUCUGUAGAUGUGAUAUUUUGGGGGGUGCCGUCACGAUGCUGCUCUGUGGGUUGACGCCGUGGGAAGUUCGCACCUUGUACUUUCGUGCUUUACAAGUGAGAUCAUUCCGGACGGUCCAACUUAAACCUUCCUCUGUCGUGUUCCCAGGACACGUCCCACGUACACCUGUCACCACCCUCACCCCGUCACGGGCGUCUCCCCCAUCACACAAACGGAUGACUCGAAGUCCGUUGUACGCGUGCCUCUAGAAGCCAGACUAGAGGACGUUCUGUCCCUCCUGGGGACUUCUGAGCUUCGAGGCUGAUAACGUCAAGACACACGGAGCUUUCACUCCACCUGACCCCACUGUUCCAUGAGCUGGAGGCUUCUCCGGCCGCUCAGAAAGCGGCUCGUACGUGGGCUUUCUGUCUACAUUUCGGGGCCAAAGAACACCCGAGACUGCUCUCCCUGAGCCCAGGAACUUGGCCUUGCCUCUACCCUUUGAUUCUUCCCUCCGGGACUCUUCAUUCUGAUGCCCUGAUUCUGGACUCAGGAGGACUGUCUGUCCUUCCCAAGGCCUGUCUUGGAACAAAGACUCAGGUAACCAGGGCAAGAUCACCGUAAUCCUUAUGAGUACAGGAUCCAGUGCAAUUAGAUCUGAGUAAAACAUGCUUGAGGGCGAUGAUGUAAAAUAUUCGAGAUGAAUGUUUAAAAUUUUUUUAACGUUUAUUAUUGAGAGACAGAGCACGAGUGGGGGAGGGGCAGAGAGAGAGGGAGACACAGAAUCUGAAGCAGGUUCCGGGCUCCGAGCUGUCGGCACAGAGCCCGACGCGGGGCUCGAACUCACGGACCGUGAGAUCGUGACCUGAGCCGAAGUCGGAAGCUCGACCGACUGAGCCCCCCCGGGUGCCCCUCGAGAUGAAUGUUUAAAAUAAAAUAUGCAUAAUUAUUUUAAGUUUCUUCACUUUAUUUGAAGCAAGAACAUCCUAAAUGAUUGUACAACCUAAAACCUGUUU